GAACAUAAGCGAAGUUUGUUUCAUCCCUUGGAUUUUCUUGCUGGGGUUUGAAAGAAAAACACUUUAGCUUCGUUAGUGGAGGAGUGUCCUUGAAAACGUAUUUAUGUUUUCCAAGUGAUUUGUCACUUGGUAGGUGUAAUUAGCUCGCUCCCUGGGCCUCUCUCUUCUUGGUUUUUAUUCUUGAAGGGCCACAAUAUCCAGAGAAUAGGAGCUGGUUUCCUGGGCCCCCCUGGCUGGCUGACACCCAGUCUUACGGGUGGAUGUGAAUGAAGCACCCGGAGGAGAAUCCUGGCCUCCGUUUCGGUCGCGAGCCCCGCUGUGAUGCUGGCGCGUGCUAAGGACCGUCACCUCAAAGAAAAGAGAACAGCUGCAGACUGAAAGAUGGUGAAAGCUACAAGGCAUUUGAGGACUAACCAUUGUAACAAUAGCUGCCAACCCCUCCUCUUUGUAACUGAAAUGGAUUUGCAACAACAUUUGUCGGAUGAACAAACAAAGCGCCUGACUUAAAGAACACUACAAAUUAAAAUUGAGAAGACAUCACCCUUCCUGGACGGUAUCAGGGAUGACUAAACGAAGGUAAAAUUUAGAAAAUUUUAAGGAUUGGGACAAAAUGGAUGGAGGUGAGCAGAGCAAGGGAGACUAACGGGCCACGAGCCUCGCCCAUCAAGAUAGGAAAGUGAUUUGUCUUCAUCACCAUUUUCCUAUUUCCGUUGACCAGGGCGAGUAUUCCUCACCUGCGCGUUGGUUUUCUAUCUGCUCUGUGAUUUGGGAAAUGGGACCCAUUCCUGGUGAACUCCUCAGAGCUGAGGAAGGUAGCAGUUUCCUGACUUUGACGUUGCCCCCAAUGAAAUGGAAAACCCUUUCCAGUGAUGUUCACGUGACCCGCUUUCUCCAGACGAGGAAACUGAGACCCAAGAAGGCUAAGACAAGCGUUCAAGAUCACAUCUACAGGGAGGAAUGGAAGGAGACCCGAAACCCGGGGUUUUGCCACUCCCCGGGGACCAAUCUGUGAUCCUUUCUGAACUAUUACAUCUGUGGCACAGCCACAGGCCAAGGGGAUGGGCUGCACUGGAUUUCUGUCCUGCUCGGACGCUUCCCAGCUGUGCCACCCCGGACACACCAGUUCCUGCCACAGGGGGUUGUUCCAAGGACGUGUGAAACGCCGAACGCCCACGUGCAUUACACACCAGCCGUCCUGCAGUCACAGUGCUGGACAGUUGGGGUGCCGACUGUCAGGUGUGUCCCAACCCCUCCAUGCACAUCAUUGUAUCUAAAGGUCGCGACCGUCCUGUAAAUUACUCAUUUUAUCUCCUUUUCCCUGAUGAGAGGAAUGAAGUGCGGAGAGGUCAGGGAAUUCACCUGAGAUCACACAGCCAGAGGCACAAGUAGCUGGGAAGCCAGGCAAUCCGACUGCUCAGGCUGCCUCUAUCGCGUGCUCUUUUUACACGAUGUCACGAGUUCAACCCACAUUUGUGGAAUAUUUAUUACGUGUCUAGUGUUGUGUUGGGCACUGAGGCUACGAUGGUGAGCAAAAAAUCAGAUGUGGUUUCUGGUCUCUGAUACUCCAGAAAGGUAGACUGCAAUCAAAUGUGUGCCAAUAUAUGAUAAACGUGGAAUUGCAACUAUGGAAAGAGUUUAUGGAGGAAAGGAGCGUGGGGCUCUACGAACCUGUAAUAGGAGUCUUGACCCAGUUGGGUAAGGCAGGGAGGACUUCCUGGAGGAAGUGACAAUUCAUCUGAGAUCUAAGGGGUGGGUAGGAGUGAGGUAAGUAGCUGGUGGUGUCGACGGUGGGGAUGGGGUGUGUAAGGACAUUCCAUGCAGAGGGAAUCUAAGUAUGGAGGCUCCUGGCAGGAGGAAGCGUGAACAGGUGCGUAGAGCAUGGCGGAAGGCAGCACUGGCUACAUAAUUUGCAGGGCCCAGUGCCAAAUGAAAAUGUGGGUCCCUUAUCACAAAUUGUUAAGAAUUUCAGGGUAGUGAGAAGAGGUACCUGCUAUUGUACGUGGGGCCCUAUGUGGCUGCAGACAUGACAUGCCCAUGAAGCCAGUCCCAACCAGAGAGAAGGCUGGGGAAGGAGUUGGGGCAAGUCGUAGAGCCGUCAAAGCCAAGUUUAGGAUUCUGUCUCUAUCGAUCUGUUUCCAGAGGGUCGCUUCUGGGUAGAGAAGCGUUUAGAGGGGAGUCAGCUGGGUGAGCUCUUAACCCUGAGGGCUCCGGCGGGUCCUCGACCUCCCCAGCCUGGCCAGGUCUUCUCCUGUGUGGGAAAGGGAGAGUGAUGCCCACCCACAUGAUGAUCAGAAUUUGUGAACAAGCGCCCUGACCUUGGAGCCUUCUCAUGGCUAAUCUGCAUGGGCCUGACACAAAGGGUCCACGAUGGGGGCUGGUAGAUGAGCGUGACUCCCUCCAAUGUCCCAAGCCAAGGAGGUAGGGGGGCAGGUUGUGUGUGGGAGUUUCUAAAGAGCUUUUUAAAAAGGGGGACCCCGGAGUUUAGGACGUUGCAAACCAAAUCCCCUUUUGCUUUUGUGUUCAAUUUCAAUGCAAAAUGGCUAAAGUAUUUAUCCAAAUAAAGCAAAACCAGCCAGAACUGUCUCUUCGGAGCCACAGAGAACUUUUCUGAGCGCCAAAAUCAAUGACUUUACCCCCGCCUUCCCCCAACCUGGGGUGUUGUAUGCAGACAGACAUUUUACUGUGACAAUUAUAAUAGCUCAGUUGGAAAUUACCGUCUGGCUAGGCAGCUGAAUCUGUGCCUGGAUCCAGCUUCAAACACAGGUAUCGGGGGCAAAUUAGCAGCGACAUCAAGUUUUGGAUUUUAUAAAAAGUGCCAGGUUGGGAGAAGAGAAUUGUUCCUGCCGCUGAGGGUGAAGGUUAAUAUUCCGGGCCUUGGCUGCCCGUGUCCGGGGCUCCCCUACCCCACACGGCAACUCUAAAGACCGCCAGGCACACUGAAGCUCAUUAUAUUUUCUCUCUGCAUAGAACUCCCCCGCAACGCCCAUGCUCUCUUUGAUUGCCAUGGAGAAGGACCAGCUAUGGGUCCCAGGAUGUUGGAGAGCUGUCCUUCCCUGCCCCGUGGCCCCCUCACUCAGAGGAAGGGCCCUGCCUCCUCCCAGGGAUUUCUGGGUCUGGAUGGCCAAAGACCCGGGUGUCUUCGGGGCCUCGUAGUUUAGGUUAAUUACGCAGAGGGCAAGGCAUUGGCGCCUCCUCUCUGGGAUGGUUGGCAAACUCGACUAGACUCAAAAUGAACCGCUUUGAUUCCAUCUGCAAAAUUAGAUCAGAUUUGAUAAAGUAAAGAUGUACCCUUUGAAGUAUUCCCUAUCAACAUAAGUGCUAAGAACACUUGAGUGAAGGAAUUUGAGCAGUUUUGAAAGCAGCAGCAUAGAAGCUUCAGUGAGGAUUGCAGCUAAGGGCAUGCCCAGAAGGCACGGGACUAACUGCAUCUAUCCUGCAGGCAAUAAGCAAUUGCUAAAGAUUCCAGACUUCUCAAAGUUCAGAGUUCAGCAUGGAAAAACUUUGUUGAACUUGUGAUAGGCUGGGCUCUGUGGUUUGCAUUCUGUUUUCAGAGGCUCUCAGAGUCCCGGCAGUUUUUGUGUUUCUGUGCCGCCUCGGCACGGCAGGAACAAGGCUGGGUUUUUUUUCGCUUUAGCUUCCACGCAGAGGUAGGAAUUAAGCCUUCAUAUGUUUUCCCGGGGUAUGGUCCCUCCAGAGCUACAGGGCAGGACAUCAGUGGGUGAAAAGUGUCUGUUUAUCCAAAUGAAAGCCAGAAGAUCUGUGUCAAAGCCCAGCUCUGUCACCGUCUAGCUGUGUAACCUUGAUGGAGUCCUUCCGUGUGUCCAAGCCUUCGUUUCUUCAUCCUUCUGACAUUCCACUCCGGCUACCGGUUACGGUCCCUUCCAUGUGCCAAUAAUACCUACCUCUCCAUUGAGCUCUACCCAAACUCCGUUAUUAAGCCCAUGGUAGGUGCUGGGGAGAAGAUGCUACAUUAAUCACCGCGUGGUCCCUUCUGGUCCAGCAGGGGACAGACAAACCUGAACGAGGGCUGUAAGAGAAAGUGUCGGGUGUGGCAAUAGGUGCACGUACAAAGGGCUAUAGGAGCUCAGAGGAGGGAGCAAUUGAUUCCACCAGGGGGGGAGCCAAGGAAAGGCACAGAGGCGAGAGAAGAGGCUCAGAGCUGAUGAGCUAAUGAACAAGAAAGCAUUUUGCAAUGUGCGGAGGGUUAUAAAAGGUACGCUCUUAUUCCGAUUUCGGGUAUUACGAAACAGCAUGCAAUCUGGAUUCUUUUCUCUUAGCUUGGACUGGAUUGAUGGUAACUUGGGAAGCUCAAAAGGACGAAAGGAUAUAGUAAGGGCUGGAAUCAAAUAACCAAUGUUGAAGGGAAAUUUAAAAAAAUCCACGAAAUCUUGAGAGAGGCCAGUGGGAGGGUACCUCACACUGACUUGCUGCCGUUUGGGCUCCCGAGGUUGGGGGAGGCGGCUUGCGUGCUGUAUCCUGGAGGUCUCGCCUACCUUGAGAUGAGCUGGAGGUCCAGAUCUUGGCUCCUGUUGUUGGGAAACCCAGGGAGGCCCCGUAAGUGCACCAUUUCCCCCUGUAUUAUGGGGUGUAAGAGUAGUGAGAAUAGGCAUCCUUGCCUGGGUCCUGAUCUUGGGUGGAAAGAAUUCAGUCUGCCACCAUUAAAUAUGACGUUAGGUGUAGGUGUUUUGUAGAUGUUCUUUACCAAGCUGAGAAGCUUCCCUCUAUUCCUAGUUUGCUGAGA